UAGCGAAGGGGGCUAGCGUUGCUCGGAAUCAGCUAGGGCGUAAAGGGCGCGUAGGCGGAUCUUUAAGUCGGGGGUGAAAGCCUGAGGCUCAACCUCAGAAUUGCCUUCGAUACUGGUUGGCUUGAGACCGGAAGAGGACAGCGGAACUGCGAGUGUAGAGGUGAAAUUCGUAGAUAUUCGCAAGAACACCAGUGGCGAAGGCGGCUGUCUGGUCCGGUUCUGACGCUGAGGCGCGAAAGCGUGGGGAGCAAACAGG
rnacentral:rRNA from 1 species